GGAGGUCCGAAAGGUGGUCUUGGCAUAAGCGAGAGCAUGACUCCAGGUGGAGCAGGAUGGCUGGCAAUUCCAGGUGGUGGCCGCAUGUCAGUCGGGGGUGGGGGUGGAGGGAACCGAGGAAGUCCAGGAGGUUGGCAAUUCCAGGUGGUGGCCGCAUCUCUGCCGUGGGUGGGGGUGGAGGGAACCGAGGAAGUCCAGGAGGUAAUACAUCAUUAUGCAAAGUUGGGACCAUGGCAGCUCCAGGGACUGAAGGCUGUUGCCUUGGAGGUGGUGGAGGUGGCAGUGGCAAUCUAACAUGAUCUUUUGACUCUGAGGAAGCUUUAGCAUCAGAUUCAAC
rnacentral:lncRNA from 1 species